AGGAGUUGGAAUAGGAGCUUGCUCCGUCCACUCCACGCAUCGACCUGGUAUUGCAGUACCUCCGGGAACGGUGCACCCCCU
rnacentral:snRNA from 1 species